rnacentral:lncRNA from 1 species
GCUAGGGCCCGAUUCCCACAGCCAGGCUUCCCCAAGAAGAGGCCAGGGAUCCCGCACCCUGAAGGGAUUGCCCAUAGUAGGCCACCAAAGGACAGCGCAAUUCCUGUGUGGGGACAUAGGCAGAAAGGGGCGGGGUAUCGAUGUCAGCAGAGGGGCUUGGUGGGCGUGGCUCUGGUCCAGAGCAACCAGGCGUCUCCCAGGAAAUCUAGCGCUCUGACCUGCGGGCGGUCCGGCCUGUAGGUCUGAUCAGGGGACCACGACCCACCACGCAGGCCAUGCCCGGGGACUCCCCAGCAUUGUGGGAGCUGGUGGAGGAGCAUGUUCCACUCCCGGAGCGGCCUGAAGUGAAGAGGAUUCUGGGAGAGGCCGCAGUGGACCUGAGCCUGGAGUUGCGAGAGGAGGUGGGAGUCCGGUGGGUGGGGAUGGGUCACAUUCCAGGCCUGCCCUGCAACUUGAGUGAUUUCCCACCACCACCAGGUCAGGUCCCUAGUUCUAUUUGGUGACCCCCUAACACCUUGUUCUCACUGCCCUCGCUCUCUUCUGUUUAGCUCCUCCCAUCCCUUGACAACCCCCAGCCAAGAUACACAGACCCAUCCCCUCUGCCCCGUGGCAAGGUACCCCAGCUCUCCUUACAGGUGGCGAUGCUAAAGGCGCUGCUCCAAGACCUCCAGUCUUCUCAAGUCUCUGACUCUCCCUCCCUACUGGCACCACCCCCCCUCCUGAGGGACCUCAUGCGC